GGAUGCGUAGGGGAUGUCCCGGUCCGUACGGCCGGCGUACGGCAGCUCCCGGUCCGUACGGGGUUGGUAGUGCCCGUCCCGGUCCAUAUGGGGCUGGUACUGGAGGUCCCGCUCCAAACAGCCGUGGUACUGCGCCUCCCGGUCCAUACGGGGCUGGUAUUGCCCGUCCCGGUCCAUAUGGGGCUGGUACUGCGCCUCCCGGUCCAUAUGGGGCUGAUAUUGCCCGUCCCGCUCCAUACGGCCCUGGUAGGGUCGAUCCCGCUCCUUACGGCUCUGGUAGGGCCGCUCGUGCUCGAGGCGGCCGCUAUAGGGUCCCUCCUGGUCCGUUAACGCCUCGUAUGGCCCCUCGCGGUCCAAAUGCGUGGUGUAGGGCCGGUCCCGGUCCGUACGCCCCCCAUAUUGCCCGUCGCGGUCCAGAUGCUCCAAAUAUUGCCCGUCGCGAUCCAGGUGCUCCGGGUACUGCCCGUCACGGUCCAUACGGACCCCGUAUUGCCCGUCGCGGUCCAGGUGGCUCUGGUAGGGCAAGUCCCGGUCCGUAUGGGGCGGAUAUUGACCGUCGCGGUCCGUAUAGGGCAGGUCGGGCUCGGCGCAGGGCGGGUACGGCCCCUCGGGGUCCAGGUGGUUCUGGUAUUGCCCCUCCGGGUCCGCGUGGGCCUGGGGGGGGGGGGGAAUUUGGGGUUGGCACUGGGGCCAUAUAGGCUAUAUGGCCCUGCAGCCCCCGAGAUGGUUUGUAUGGCCCUGGAACCCCCCCAGACCUGGUUUAUAUGGCCUGAGGGACCCCAUAUGGUCCUGGGACCCACCCAGGCCUGCUCUAUAUGGCCCUAUGGCCUCCUACACACCCUAUAUGGCCCUACAACCCUCCCGACCUGCUCUAUAUGGCCCUAUGGCCUCCUACACACCCCAUACGGCCCUACAACCCUCCCGACCUGCUCUAUAUGGCCCUAUGGCCUCCUACGCACCCCAUACGGCCCUACAACCCUCCCGACCUGCUCUAUAUGGCCCUAUGGCCUCCUACACACCCCAUAGGGCCCUAUAACCCCCCUGACCUCCUCUAUAUGGCCCUGGGACCCCUCAACGUGCC
rnacentral:lncRNA from 1 species